UUAUUUUUUUAUGGCGUCGUUACAAGGCUACCAGGCUCAAUUUUGUUGAACUGUCAAAUGUGGCCUAUUAAAUUGCCCCGACUAUAAUUCGUUUAACAAAUAAUG